rnacentral:rRNA from 1 species
GACGAACGUUGGCGGCGUGGAUUAGGCAUGCAAGUCGAACGAAUCCCAGGGUAGCAAUACCUUGGGGGAAGUGGCGAAAGGGGCAGUAAUGCAUGGGUAACCUACCUUGGGGAUGGGCAUAGCCGUUCUAACGAGCGGGUAAUUCCCAGCGAUCCGAUGAGGUGGCAUCUCCUUACCGGGAAAUGAGUUUCGCCUCGAGAGGGGCCCAUGUGCUAUUAGCUUGUUGGUGAGGUAACGGCUCACCAAGGCUUAGAUGGCUAGCGGGUGUGAGAGCACGACCCGCGCCACUGGCACUGUGACACUGGCCAGACACCUACGGGUGGCUGCAGUCGAGGAUCUUCGUCAAUGGGCGCAAGCCUGAACGAGCGACGCCGCGUGAGCGAUUGAAGGCCUUCGGGUUGUAAAGCUCAAAAGGGGGGAGAAAGGCGCAAGCUUGAUCGAUCCCCAGUAAGCACGGGCUAAGUUCGUGCCAGCCGCCG